AGAACCACAGAAGGGGUAUGCUUGGAAGGGACCACAGUGGAGCAUCUCGUCCAACCUCCCUUCUCAAGCAGGGUCAUCCUAGAGCAAGUCACACAGGUAGCCUGAAUUUCAGUUCCUCAUCUGCCCAGAGCCUGGCAGCUGUGGCAUUUGUGUUGGUCAACCUCAGUUCACCUCUCUGCAGCUGUAGGUGGGCUGCAGAUGUAAGAUGGAGACUUAUGCAGGCAACUCUACAGUGUGUAUGUUAGAGGAAUUUGAGAGUCUUGUGAAAUCAGAAGGCUACCAUGGACUAUAAUUACAAACUAUCAC